GACGAACGCUGGCGGCGUGCCUAAUACAUGCAAGUAGAACGCUGAAGGAGGAGCUUGCUUCUCUGGAUGAGUUGCGAACGGGUGAGUAACGCGUAGGUAACCUGCCUGGUAGCGGGGGAUAACUAUUGGAAACGAUAGCUAAUACCGCAUAAGAGUAGAUGUUGCAUGACAUUUGCUUAAAAGGUGCAAUUGCAUCACUACCAGAUGGACCUGCGUUGUAUUAGCUAGUUGGUGAGGUAACGGCUCACCAAGGCGACGAUACAUAGCCGACCUGAGAGGGUGAUCGGCCACACUGGGACUGAGACACGGCCCAGACUCCUACGGGAGGCAGCAGUAGGGAAUCUUCGGCAAUGGACGGAAGUCUGACCGAGCAACGCCGCGUGAGUGAAGAAGGUUUUCGGAUCGUAAAGCUCUAUUGUAAGAGAAGAACGAGUGUGAGAGUGGAAAGUUCACACUGUGACGGUAUCUUACCAGAAAGGGACGGCUAACUACGUG
rnacentral:rRNA from 1 species